rnacentral:rRNA from 1 species
CUACGGGACGCUGCAGUGGGGAAUAUUGGACAAUGGGGGAAACCCUGACCCAGCAAUGCCGCGUGUGUGAAGAAGGCCUGCGGGUUGUAAAGCACUUUCGGUUGGGAGGACUGCUUCUAGCACUAAUAUUGUUGGAAGUUGACGUUACCUUCAGAAGAAGCACCGGCUAACUCCGUGCCAGCAGCCGCGGUAAUACGGAGGGUGCCAGCGUUAAUCGGAAUUACUGGGCGUAAAGCGCGCGUAGGCGGCUAGAUCAGUCGGGUGUGAAAGCCCCGGGCUUAACCUGGGAACUGCAUCCGAUACUGUCUAGCUUGAGUACAGGAGAGGAGAGUGGAAUUCCACGUGUAGCGGUGAAAUGCGUAGAUAUGUGGAGGAACACCAAUGGCGAAGGCAGCUCUCUGGCCUGAUACUGACGCUGAGGUGCGAAAGCGUGGGGAGCAAACAGGAUUAGAUACCCGCGUAGUC